GAGUUUGAUCCUGGCUCAGGACGAACGCUGGCGGUGCGCCUUAUGCAUGCAAGUCGAGCGAAGCUUUUCAGUAGUUUACUACAGAAAAUGACUGAGCGGCGAACGGGUGAGUAACGCGUGAGCAAUCUACCUUAGUUACAGGGAUAGCCCGAGGAAACUCGGAUUAAUACCUGAUAUUCUUUAUUUCUCGCAUGAGAAUAAAAGGAAAGGUCAGCCGAACUAAGAUGAGCUCGCGUUCUAUCAGCUAGUUGGUGAGGUAAAAGCUCACCAAGGCUACGACGGAUAGCUGGUCUGAGAGGACGAUCAGCCACACUGGGACUGAGACACGGCCCAGACUCCUACGGGAGGCUGCAGCAGGGAAUAUUGCGCAAUGAGCGAAAGCUUGACGCAGCGACACCGCGUGUGGGAUGACGGAUCUAGGUUUGUAAACCACUUUCAGGAGGGAAGAAAAUGACGGUACCUCCACAAGAAGCCCCGGCCAACUACGUGCCAGCAGCCGCGGUAAUACGUAGGGGGCGAGCGUUGUCCGGAUUUAUUGGGCGUAAAGAG
rnacentral:rRNA from 1 species